rnacentral:rRNA from 1 species
GAGCUAACGCGUUAAGUCGACCGCCUGGGGAGUACGGCCGCAAGGUUAAAACUCAAAUGAAUUGACGGGGGCCCGCACAAGCGGUGGAGCAUGUGGUUUAAUUCGAUGCAACGCGAAGAACCUUACCUACUCUUGACAUCCACAGAAUUCGCUAGAGAUAGCUUAGUGCCUUCGGGAACUGUGAGACAGGUGCUGCAUGGCUGUCGUCAGCUCGUGUUGUGAAAUGUUGGGUUAAGUCCCGCAACGAGCGCAACCCUUAUCCUUUGUUGCCAGCACGUGAUGGUGGGAACUCAAAGGAGACUGCCGGUGAUAAACCGGAGGAAGGUGGGGAUGACGUCAAGUCAUCAUGGCCCUUACGAGUAGGGCUACACACGUGCUACAAUGGCAUAUACAAAGAGAAGCGAACUCGCGAGAGCAAGCGGACCUCAUAAAGUAUGUCGUAGUCCGGAUCGGAGUCUGCAACUCGACUCCGUGAAGUCGGAAUCGCUAGUAAUCGUAGAUCAGAAUGCUACGGUGAAUACGUUCCCGGGCCUUGUACACACCGCCCGUCACACCAUGGGAGUGGGUUGCAAAAGAAGUAGGUAGCUUAACCUUCGGGAGGGCGCUUACCAC